GACGAACGCUGGCGGCGUGCUUAACACAUGCAAGUCGAACGGAAAGGCCCUGCUUUUGUGGGGUGCUCGAGUGGCGAACGGGUGAGUAACACGUGAGUAACCUGCCCUUGACUUUGGUAUAACUUCAGGAAACUGGAGCUAAUACCGUAUAGGAGCUCCUGCUGCAUGGUGGGGGUUGGAAAUUUUCGGCGGUUGGGGAUGGACUCGCGGCUUAUCAGCUUGUUGGUGGGGUAGUGGCUUACCAAGGCUUUGACGGGUAGCCGGCCUGAGAGGGUGACCGGCCACAUUGGGACUGAGAUACGGCCCAGACUCAUACGGGAGGCAGCAGUGGGGAAUAUUGCACAAUGGGCGGAAGCCUGAUGCAGCAACGUCGCGUGCGGGAUGACGGCUUUUGGGUUGUAAACCGCUUUCGCCUGUGACGAAGCGUGAGUGACGGUAAUGGGUAAAGAAGCACCGGCUAACUACGUG
rnacentral:rRNA from 1 species